ACGAACGCUGGCGGCGUGCUUCACACCUGCAAGUCGCACGGAAAGGCCCUGCUUGCAGGGUACUCGAGUGGCGAACGGGUGAGUAACACGUGGGUGAUCUGCCCUGCACUUCGGGAUAAGCUUGGGAAACUGGGUCUAAUACCGGAUAGGAGCCAUCUUUAGUGUGGUGGUUGGAAAGUUUUUUCGGUGUAGGAUGAGCUCGCGGCCUAUCAGCUUGUUGGUGGGGUAAUGGCCUACCAAGGCGGCGACGGGUAGCCGGCCUGAGAGGGUGUACGGCCACAUUGGGACUGAGAUACGGCCCAGACUCCUACGGGAGGCAGCAGUGGGGAAUAUUGCACAAUGGGCGCAGGCCUGAUGCAGCGACGCCGCGUGGGGGAUGAAGGCCUUCGGGUUGUAAACUCCUUUCGCUAGGGACGAAGCUUUUUUGUGACGGUACCUAGAUAAGAAGCACCGGCUAACUACGUG
rnacentral:rRNA from 1 species